rnacentral:rRNA from 1 species
GUGGUUUAGUUUACGUAGUGCAACGCGAAGAACCUUACCUAGGUUUGACAUCCGGAAGACCUUCCCGAAAAGGAAGGGUGCCCUUCGGGGAAUUCCGAGACAGGUGCUGCAUGGCUGUCGUCAGCUCGUGCCGUGAGGUGUUGGGUUAAGUCCCGCAACGAGCGCAACCCUAUUGCCAGUUGCUACCAGGUAAUGCUGGGCACUCUGGUGAGACUGCCCCGGUUAACGGGGAGGAAGGUGGGGACGACGUCAAGUCAUCAUGGCCCUUACGCCUAGGGCUACACACGUACUACAAUGGCGCAUACAAAGGGCAGCGAUACCGCGAGGUGGAGCCAAUCCCAAAAAGUGCGUCCCAGUCCGGAUUGCAGUCUGCAACUCGACUGCAUGAAGUUGGAAUCGCUAGUAAUUCGAGAUCAGCAUGCUCGGGUGAAUGCGUUCCCGGGCCUU